GAUGAACGCUGGCGGCGUGCCUAGUACAUGCCAGUCGAGCGAACAGAUAAGGAGCUUGCUCCUUUGACGUUAGCGGCGGACGGGUGAGUAACACGUGGGUAACCUACCUAUAAGACUGGAAUAACUCCGGGAAACCGGGGCUAAUGCCGGAUAACAUUUAGAACCGCAUGGUUCUAAAGUGAAAGAUGGUUUUGCUAUCACUUAUAGAUGGACCCGCGCCGUAUUAGCUAGUUGGUAAGGUAACGGCUUACCAAGGCAACGAUACGUAGCCGACCUGAGAGGGUGAUCGGCCACACUGGAACUGAGACACGGUCCAGACUCCUACGGGAGGCAGCAGUAGGGAAUCUUCCGCAAUGGGCGAAAGCCUGACGGAGCAACGCCGCGUGAGUGAUGAAGGUCUUCGGAUCGUAAAACUCUGUUAUUAGGGAAGAACAAAUGUGUAAGUAACUGUGCACGUCUUGACGGUACCUAAUCAGAAAGCCACGGCUAGCUACGUG
rnacentral:rRNA from 1 species